GUGCCAGCCGCCGCGGUAAAACGUAGGAGCCAAGCGUUAUCCGAAUUCACUGGGCGUAAAGCGCGUGCAGGCGGCCUGAUAAGUUGGAUGUGAAAGCUCCCGGCUCAACUGGGAGAGGACGUUCAAUACUGUCAGGCUGGAGGGCAGCAGAGGGAGGUGGAAUUCCCGGUGUAGUGGUGAAAUGCGUAGAUAUCGGGAGGAACACCAGUGGCGAAGGCGACCUCCUGGGCUGUACCUGACGCUAAGAUGCGAAAGCUAGGGGAGCGAACGGGAUUAGAAACCCCUGUAGUCC
rnacentral:rRNA from 1 species